rnacentral:misc_RNA from 1 species
AACGCACAUUGCGCCCGCCAGUAUUCUGGCGGGCAUGCCUGUUCGAGCGUCAUUUCAACCAUCAAGCCCCCGGCUUGCGUUGGAGCCCUGCGGCUGCCGCAGGCUCCCAAAUACAGUGGCGGGCUCGUCGUCGUACCGAGUGCAGUAAACAUCCUCGCUCAGGGAACGCGUCGGGUUCUUGCCGUGAAACACCCCACAUAUCAAGGUUGACCUCGGAUCAGGUAGGAAUACCCGCUGAACUUAA